rnacentral:rRNA from 1 species
UACGGGGGGAGCAAGCGUUGUUCGGAUUUACUGGGCGUAAAGGGCGCGUAGGCGGCCACCGCAAGUCGGUUGUGAAAUCUCCGGGCUUAACCCGGAAAGGUCAAUCGAUACUGCGGGGCUAGAGUGAUGUAGGGGAGACUGGAAUUCCUGGUGUAGCGGUGAAAAUGCGCAGAUAUCAGGAGGAACACCGAUGGCGAAGGCAGGUCUCUGGGCAUUAACUGACGCUGAGGAGCGAAAGCAUGGGGAGCGAACAGG